rnacentral:rRNA from 1 species
CGGUAAGUGUAGUAGCAAUAUUAUACGAGAGUGACGUACGGGUGCGUAACACGUAUGCAACCUACCCUUUACAGGAGGAUAGCUCGGGGAAACUCGAAUUAACCCUCCAUGAUAUCAUUUAGUGGCAUCACUGAAUGAUUAAAACUCAGGUGGUAAAGGAUGGGCAUGCGUCUGAUUAGUUAGUUGGUGCGGGUAACGGCCCACCAAGACGAUGAUCAGUAGGGGAACUGAGAGGUUGAUCCCCCACACUGGCACUGAGAUACGGGCCAGACUCCUACGGGAGGCAGCAGUAGGGAAUAUUGGUCAAUGGAUGGAAGUCUGAACCAGCCAUGCCGCGUGCAGGAAGAAGGCCUUCUGGGUUGUAAACUGCUUUUACCAGGGGAUAAAAAGACCGUGCGCGGUUAAUUGAAGGUACCUGGUGAAUAAGCCACGGCUAACUACGUGCCAG